rnacentral:lncRNA from 1 species
AGAUACUGCGCAUAGGCAUCCUCUGUGCAGUUCCGGGCAAUCCCGUCGCCAGCCGUCCACAAGUUUGCUCUCGGGUAAUAUGACUUGACAACUGUAAGAACUUGCUUGCAGACAGUCUUACAUAGUCCAGCAACUCUACCCAGGGCAGCUCUUAGCCUCUCGACUAGCGAGCAAGGCUCAGCAUCAUCUUCAGGUGGAGCAAUAGCGUUGACUACGUCCUGAGCAGCACUAAUCAACUCUUGAAGAUCAC